rnacentral:rRNA from 1 species
CAGGCUUAACACAUGCAAGUCGAGGGGCAGCAUGGUCUUAGCUUGCUAAGGCCGAUGGCGACCGGCGCACGGGUGAGUAACACGUAUCCAACCUGCCGUCUACUCUUGGACAGCCUUCUGAAAGGAAGAUUAAUACAAGAUGGCAUCAUGAGUCCGCAUGUUCACAUGAUUAAAGGUAUUCCGGUAGACGAUGGGGAUGCGUUCCAUUAGAUAGUAGGCGGGGUAACGGCCCACCUAGUCUUCGAUGGAUAGGGGUUCUGAGAGGAAAGUCCCCCACAUUGGAACUGAGACACGGUCCAAACUCCUACGGGAGGCAGCAGUGAGGAAUAUUGGUCAAUGGGCGAGAGUCUGAACCAGCCAAGUAGCGUGAAGGAUGACUGCCCUAUGGGUUGUAAACUUCUUUUAUAAAGGAAUAAAGUCGGGUAUGCAUACCCGUUUGCAUGUACUUUAUGAAUAAGGAUCGGCUAACUCCGUGCCAGCAGCCGCGGUAAUACGGAGGAUCCGAGCGUUAUCCGGAUUUAUUGGGUUUAAAGGGAGCGUAGAUGGAUGUUUAAGUCAGUUGUGAAAGUUUGCGGCUCAACCGUAAAAUUGCAGUUGAUACUGGAUAUCUUGAGUGCAGUUGAGGCAGGCGGAAUUCGUGGUGUAGCGGUGAAAUGCUUAGAUAUCACGAAGAACUCCGAUUGCGAAGGCAGCCUGCUAAGCUGCAACUGACAUUGAGGCUCGAAAGUGUGGGUAUCAAACAGGAUUAGAUACCCUGGUAGUCCACACGGUAAACGAUGAAUACUCGCUGUUUGCGAUAUACAGCAAGCGGCCAAGCGAAAGCGUUAAGUAUUCCACCUGGGGAGUACGCCGGCAACGGUGAAACUCAAAGGAAUUGACGGGGGCCCGCACAAGCGGAGGAACAUGUGGUUUAAUUCGAUGAUACGCGAGGAACCUUACCCGGGCUUAAAUUGCAGAUGAAUUACGGUGAAAGCCGUAAGCCGCAAGGCAUCUGUGAAGGUGCUGCAUGGUUGUCGUCAGCUCGUGCCGUGAGGUGUCGGCUUAAGUGCCAUAACGAGCGCAACCCUUGUUGUCAGUUACUAACAGGUUCUGCUGAGGACUCUGACAAGACUGCCAUCGUAAGAUGUGAGGAAGGUGGGGAUGACGUCAAAUCAGCACGGCCCUUACGUCCGGGGCUACACACGUGUUACAAUGGGGGGUACAGAGGGCCGCUACCACGCGAGUGGAUGCCAAUCCCCAAAACCUCUCUCAGUUCGGACUGGAGUCUGCAACCCGACUCCACGAAGCUGGAUUCGCUAGUAAUCGCGCAUCAGCCACGGCGCGGUGAAUACGUUCCCGGGCCUUGUACACACCGCCCGUCAAGCCAUGGGAGCCGGGGGUACCUGAAGUGCGUAACCGCGAGGAGCGCCCUAGGGUAAAACUGGUGACUGGGGC